UGGAAAAGAACUUUGCAAGCAUCAUGAGGAGCAAGAAGAAACCAAAAGCGAGAGAGGCAACAGAAACACAGCAAGAAACAGUGGGAUGGGGCUCAAGGAGAUCAGGAAGCAUAGCAUCCAUUUUGAUGAGAAAAACCUCCUUCAUAAAAGGAAAAACUAAACUGCUAAGAAGCAAGAACGCCAUCUCAUGGGGAAGGACCGCCGUCUCAAGAAGCAAGACCAAACUGAGGAGGGGAGAAACUGCGUUUGCGGUGGGUACAACCACAGUUACACAUGGAGAGACCACUAGCUCCUUAAGUAAGGCCACCUUAAGUCAAGGGAAGAAGUCAAUAACUGUAAUAAAAACGCUCCUCAAAAGAGGCAAAGAAACUCAAUGGAACCUCUACUGGGAUUUUCAUCUCUGACUGAAACACACAAAACAUGAGCACAUACACACACAACAGACUUUGGGAUAAAGAAUGCUCGAGCAGAUGAUGUCUCCACUCUUGAAGCUCAGCAGCAGACUUAGGAUCAGUAUUUAAAACUUUUCUCCAAUUCUCCAACAUUACAAAUCAAGACUGUUCCAGGACCAAGACCCACAUGCCAAACACUUCAGAGUAAAUGUACUCAAAGCGGGUGGAGAAUUCUGCUAAUACACCUCAGGGGCCUGCACUUUAUUAUUUGACUGGCAUGAGACCCUGCAGCAUUGAGUUUUCAGUUUGCAAUUAAUGUAUGAGGAUGUUAAAUGGCUAUUGCAUGUGUUGAGUAAAUGGCAGAUGUAUGUGAUUCUGAGGGUCAAUGAUGGCUGAGUUGCUGAGGAUGUGUUUGUUGAUGAAAGUCUUCAAACCAGAUCAUGGUAUGUAAUUUCUGAAGCACACCUUAAACCUUUAGUACUCAUAGAGCUGUGCCAAAGGUAGAGUUGGUGCUGGACGAGUAGGGAGGGUUAUAAGUUAUAAGAGGCGAUUCAGAAAGCAAGCAGUAAUGGAAUAGUUAGAGAUUCUUCAUCAAGAAAGAGACAGUUAUGCAGAAGGUUUUGUGCACAUUAAAUGACUCUACAUGAAAACUAUCAGUCUAACUGCAUUGAAACAGGCCCAAAUUUCGAAAUUCAAAGUAAGGCUGGAAUUCAGACCACAAUAAAGCCUCCCUGGUGAAUGUAAUGGAUAAAAAACAGUUUCUUUUUGAGAACAUCUAAAGAUAAAGUUGAAAACAACAAGAACAGUCAAGAAAACUACUUGAAGAAAGGAGCUCACUACAUGAGGCAUGUUUUCUCCUCAGCAGUCUGUGCUGUUACAGAGGCAGUUGACUCCUUGUUCGUUCAGCCACUCCAUCCGUUCUAGAAGAUAUUCCAAACCUUCCCAUCUCCCCCCACUAAUUCUCAAAUUUUCACUCAGGUAUUUUCCUCCUCUUAACCUUCAUCACGUUCCAUCAUUAUAUUCAGCUAAAUGGAGGAAGGUAUAGAGAACUGAAAACUGAUCAUAAAUAGAAUAUUAAUGCUCACAUUUUAUUUUCCUUAGGUUGAACAUGCUGCUGGCAUCAACUUCUCUCGUCAUCAGCCAAAAUUAGCUUACAGUACAAUACAAAAUUUUAGCUUUUCAACAGCCUGUACUUCUGCCUAAAGUCUGCACACCAACAAAACAACAGACCACUACAGAUUCAUUGGUGCAUCCAAAAAUCAUCAAAUUGAAUCCAGUGGAAGAUGCUCAUCUUAUAAUCAUAAUGAUUUUUAAGGUCAUAACAAGUUGUGGACUUUGUAAGUGAGGCUGUGUCAUUCGUAUUUGCCUUCAGCUCUUGAACACAGAGACUUGCCCAGAGACUUUCUUCAGAACUGCUGGAACUCUGACCUGUCAACAUUGACCUGGAAUGGAAGUCAUCAUAGUCCUUCCUCCUUUAAUUAUUGCUGUCCAAAUAAAGACAAGUGCAUCUCCAAAAUGGUAACUUUACAAUUAUUCUAUCAAUUUUCAAACAUUUCAAUUGGUCCAUUUAUCAUAAACACAGGAUAAAAGGCAGCUGCUGAGCUCAAAUGAUGUAGAAAAAUAUGGAGAAACUUUUUUUUUGUGACAGUGAUGAUACACAAAGCCCCUUAUGAUCUCCCUGUGAUGAUAAUGUACUGUUACACUUGGGUUACUGUACUUAUGUUGUGUCUCACAUCAGUGCACGUCACAAACACAAAACCACAUUCAUAAAGUCUCAUGCCGAUCAGCUCCAUAUAAGAUUGGGAUAUGAAAGCCAAAACCUGAUCCCAGACAGUACACUUGCUUUGAAUUUGUUACACAAAGCUUCAGACAUACGAAGAUCUUCAAAAUGUUCUGAUGAGCACUGAUGUGGAUGAAGUUCCCUGAAAAAAAAUGUAAACUUGCAUAAAAAGUCCCUCCAACACUUGGGGCCAGUUUUCUGGACAGGGAUUACACCUAAUUAUGGACUACAUUUACCUUUCCAUGGAAAAUCGCAUUCAAAAUCCUGGAUUUAAGCCAGAACUAGGCUUAAUCCCUGUCUGGGAAACUGGCCCUUGUUUUAUUUAGAGGUAAAUGUAAAUCAAGUUACUGUGUGUAGUUACAUUAUGUCUGUGAAACAGAAACUUUGUGUGAUUUAGGUGAAGUAGGAAAAACUGCACUGUAACUAAUGCUUUAGAUCAUUAGCACUGACAAUGGGGGCUUAAGAAGAAAAGAGUGGGGCAAUUCUGGCUUACAGUGGGAACCAACUGUGUUUCUGACAGUCAAAAGCUCCAUCAUGUGUAAACGUCCUCUGCCUCUCCUUCCACUGGAUUUAACUCAGCUGGCAGAAGCGCCACACUGCCCACUGGAGGGCUCACAGGAAACUGAACACCUUGUUUUCUGCAUCAGCACUGCCUAAGAAUACAGGAGAGUGACUGCAUCUGGCAGUUUACUGCAUCUGGCAUCUAGGAAUUAGCAGCUUCUGCAAUGUUGGGGAAAUUGUUAAGUCACAGUUUGAAGUCACUGUUAUGGAAAACUUCUCCACCUUGCUGCAAAGGACAUUUGCUUAAAAUCCCAUUGGCUACAUGUAAGCAAAGCAAGCAACAAUUUGACCAACAGAUAUGACUGCAGUAGGCGAUUUGACGGAGAACGCAGUCUGGUGAGUGGUACACAGCCCAGCACAAACCAGACCCAGAAACAUAGAAGGUUUCAGUCAGACAAAGCAUAGAUUCAAGAACAUGAUGUAUUAAAUAAUAACUGAGCUAAUUUAUACGCUUAUCUUAAAACAUAAUGGUCAUUCAUUGGUCGAGAUGUCAAAGCUAGCAAUUAAUCAAACUUCAUAUUUUAACUUUUUAAUUCAUUUCAAGUCCUUGUCUUAUGUAGUUUGUCUUCAAAUGUUAUAGAUCAACUGUCUUAAUGUGGUCAAGGGUACUGGAGAAAAAGAUGGCCACCGUUUUUGUGCUUACCAAAGUUCAUUUUUGAAAAUCUUUUUCCCUCUUGCCGUGUUAGCAUAUUAUGUGUUUUACCAGCGUUUUGUAGCCACCUGGAUGCUACAACUCUGGGAAGUGAUGGUUCUGACUGUGGUGCAUGUUUAAUAAAGUUGCUGACUUUGUCUACUG